GGAGGGACGGAUGCAGCUUAAAACAGAGAGAUGGAGAAGGGGGGGGAAUGGUGACGGGCUGCUGGACAGAGACGGAGGAAGACAAAGCAGGGCCAACUGCUUUCUCUCGGACAACUCUCCCUCGGGUGCCUAAUUCUCAUUUAAUUUACCAUUUACGAGCUUUAUUGUAACUUAUUGUGUAGUCCCAAGUGAGAGCUGUCAGUGCCUGUAACAACUUCUGUUUUAAUUCUUCCCCCUCAACAGCUACGUUUCCCUUUAACGGGCGUUAAAGACGCCCACCGAGCUUCGCACUUUCGUUUGCUAUUGGCCCGUUACCGACUCCAAGUACUUGGUCUAUCACUUUACCUGUGUAAGUUUUCCUCUUCAGGGCAACACCAUCUCCAAAAUUUGUAUUCCCAGGCAGAAAGAGAGCAAGCUCCGCUCAUCUCGACGGGCCCUUGACUUCCACAUCUGCACACGGAAAAUAAAAAUGGAAAAAUAUCAUUACAUCAGAAACUACAGCGCCCAUCAAAAGAAUUUGCAAUCCUACCAAUCCAAAACACAGAUAAGGCCCACCCGCUCCACAACCCAGUCCACCUCCGAACCCUCCAGCUGCAAGAUCCGCAACCGUCUUCCCGUGACCGUCCACCAAACGCACCUCCCUGCAAUGACAGGCAAGUGCCACGUGCCAGGGCAGCGCUCCCCAGGAACGCCGCUCCCAGGGGCCUGAAAAAUCGCCCCGCAUGUGAGAAACCCCGGCCCGAGCCCGACCCCCGUCCAAACGCCGGCGAUGAACGUCACCUCGCAGAGCGGCCGGGACCAGGGAGGGG